rnacentral:rRNA from 1 species
CCUACGGGAGGCAGCAGUGAGGAAUAUUGGUCAAUGGGCGCAAGCCUGAACCAGCCAAGUCGCGUGAAGGAAGACGGCCCUAUGGUUUGUAAACAUCUUUUAUAGGGGAGUAAAGGUAUCCACGUGUGGCUAUUUGCGUGUACCCUAUGAAAAAGCAUCGGCUAACUCCGUGCCAGCAGCCGCGGUAAUACGGAGGAUGCGAGCGUUAUCCGGAUUUAUUGGGGUUAAAGGGUGCGUAGGUGGGUUUGUAAGUCAGCGGUGAAAGUUUGGGGCUCAACCUUAAAAUGGCCGUUGAAACUGGAAGACUUGAGUGUGUUUGAGGUAGGCGGAAUGCGUGGUGUAGCGGUGAAAUGCAUAGAUAUCACGCAGAACUCCGAUUGCGAAGGCAGCUUACUGAGACAUAACUGACGCUGAAGCACGAAAGCGUGGGGAUCAAACAGGAUUAGAUACCCCUGUAGUC